GCCAGACUCCUACGGGAGGCAGCAGUGGGGAAUAUUGGGCAAUGGGCGCAAGCCUGACCCAGCAACGCCGCGUGAAGGAAGAAGGCUUUCGGGUUGUAAACUUCUUUUAUGAGGGACGAAAGAAAUGACGGUACCUCAUGAAUAAGCCACGGCUAACUACGUGCCAGCAGCCGCGGUAAUACGUAGGUGGCAAGCGUUAUCCGGAUUUACUGGGUGUAAAGGGCGUGUAGGCGGGGAAGCAAGUCAGAUGUGAAAACCACGGGCUCAACCUGUGGCCUGCAUUUGAAACUGUUUUUCUUGAGUGCUGGAGAGGCAAUCGGAAUUCCGUGUGUAGCGGUGAAAUGCGUAGAUAUACGGAGGAACACCAGUGGCGAAGGCGGAUUGCUGGACAGUAACUGACGCUGAGGCGCGAAAGCGUGGGGAGCAAACAGGAUUAGAUACCCGAGUAGA
rnacentral:rRNA from 1 species